rnacentral:rRNA from 1 species
GACGAACGCUGGCGGCGUGCUUAACACAUGCAAGUCGAACGGAAAGGCCCUGCUUUUGUGGGGUGCUCGAGUGGCGAACGGGUGAGUAAAACGUGAGUAACCUGCCCUUGACUUUGGGAUAUCUUCAGGAAACUGGGGCUAAUACCGGAUAGGAGCUCCUGCUGCAUGGUGGGGGUUGGAAAGUUUCGGCGGUUGGGGAUGGACUCGCAGCUUAUCGGCUUGUUGGUGGAGUAGUGGCUUACAAAGGCUUUGACGGGUAGCCGGCCUGGGAGGGUGACCGGCCACAUUAGGACUGAGAUACGGCCCAGACUCCUACGGGAGGCAGCAGUGGGGAAUAUGGCACAAUGGGCGGAAGCCUGAUGCAGCAACGCCGCGUGCGGGAUGACGGCCUUCGGGUUGUAAACCGAUUUCGCCUGUGACGAAGCGUGAGUGACGGUAAUGGGUAAGGAAGCACCGGCUAACUACGUG